rnacentral:rRNA from 1 species
UACGUAGGGUGCGAGCGUUGUCCGGAAUUAUUGGGCGUAAAGAGCUCGUAGGCGGCUUGUCGCGUCGGUUGUGAAAGCCCGGGGCUUAACCCCGGGUCUGCAGUCGAUACGGGCAGGCUAGAGUGUGGUAGGGGAGAUCGGAAUUCCUGGUGUAGCGGUGAAAUGCGCAGAUAUCAGGAGGAACACCGGUGGCGAAGGCGGCCCGCUGGGCAGAGACUGACGCUGAGGCGCGACAGCGUGGGGAGCAAACAGG